AGGAUGGACGCUGGCGGCGUGCUUAACACAUGCAAGUCGAACGAUGAAGGCUGGAGCUUGCUCUGGCUGGAUUAGUGGCGAACGGGUGAGUAACACGUGAGUAACCUGCCCCAGACUCUGGGAUAAGCGCUGGAAACGGCGUCUAAUACCGGAUACGAGCUUCCACCGCAUGGUGAGGAGCUAGGAAAGUAAUUUUCGGUCGUGGGAUGGACUCCGCGGCCUAUCAGCUUGUUGGUGAGGUAAUGGCUCACCAAGGCGACGACGGGUAGCCGGCCUGAGAGGGUGACCGGCCACACUGGGACUGAGACACGGCCCAGACCUCCGUACGGGAGGCGAGCGAGGUGGGGAAUUAGUUGCUAACAAGUGGGACGGCAAGCCUGAUGCAGCCAACGCCG
rnacentral:rRNA from 1 species